rnacentral:rRNA from 1 species
CGGAACCUAACUAUGUAACAAGGUCUCCGUUGGUGAACCAGCGGAGGGAUCAUUACCGAGUUUACAACUCCCAAACCCCUGUGAACAUACCAAUUGUUGCCUCGGCGGAUCAGCCCGCUCCCGGUAAAACGGGACGGCCCGCCAGAGGACCCCUAAACUCUGUUUCUAUAUGUAACUUCUGAGUAAAACCAUAAAUAAAUCAAAACUUUCAACAACGGAUCUCUUGGUUCUGGCAUCGAUGAAGAACGCAGCAAAAUGCGAUAAGUAAUGUGAAUUGCAGAAUUCAGUGAAUCAUCGAAUCUUUGAACGCACAUUGCGCCCGCCAGUAUUCUGGCGGGCAUGCCUGUUCGAGCGUCAUUUCAACCCUCAAGCCCCCGGGUUUGGUGUUGGGGAUCGGCGAGCCCUUGCGGCAAGCCGGCCCCGAAAUCUAGUGGCGGUCUCGCUGCAGCUUCCAUUGCGUAGUAGUAAAACCCUCGCAACUGGUACGCGGCGCGGCCAAGCCGUUAAACCCCCAACUUCUGAAUGUGACCUC